GAUGAACGCUGGCGGCGUGCCUAAUACAUGCAAGUCGAGCGAACGGACGAGAAGCUUGCUUCUCUGAUGUUAGCGGCGGACGGGUGAGUAACACGUGGAUAACCUACCUAUAAGACUGGGAUAACUUCGGGAAACCGGAGCUAAUUCCGGAUGAUAUUUUGAACCGCAUGGUUCAAAAGUGAAAGACGGUCUUGCUGUCACUUAUAGAUGGAUCCGCGCUGCAUUAGCUAGUUGGUAAGGUAACGGCUUACCAAGGCAACGAUGCAUAGCCGACCUGAGAGGGUGAUCGGCCACACUGGAACUGAGACACGGUCCAGACUCCUACGGGAGGCAGCAGUAGGGAAUCUUCCGCAAAGGGCGAAAGCCUGACGGAGCAACGCCGCGUGAGUGAUGAAGGUCUUCGGAUCGUAAAACUCUGUUAUUAGGGAAGAACAUAUGUGUAAGUAACUGUGCACAUCUUGACGGUACCUAAUCAGAAAGCCACGGCUAACUACGUG
rnacentral:rRNA from 1 species